AGUCUUCCUUGACUGCAUCACAUACCCUUACUAGUUCACACAUAUUUACUACUCAAAAACUGCUUUACUUUCAAGUUCCUCUCUAUCCUUGCCUUAGAAUAAUUUUCCUCAUUUGCAAUGCACUUAAGAAGAGUCUACAUAAUAUUCCCUAAUCUCAUCCACAGCACUCUAUAUUCCCCGAGUAAGGAUUAGUAGGCAGGCAAUAUUCUAAAUCCAUUCAUCAUAGGACACCAAUGUUCCAAUUUCAUAUCUAAAAGGAUCAUAUUAUAAAAAGUCAUUUAGAAAGAAACCACAUUAGCUCAAAUUUUGCAACACUUAAUAAUUUAGUUUACGAGUUGUAUCCAAACUUAUGUGUCUUCAUUUAUGAUAACCAUGAGCGCAAAACUCUCUUCUAAUUCAAACUUUUGAACAUCAUAAGCUUUUCUGAAUGUGCAUGCCAAUUUUAGAUACUGUCUGCCAAACAUAGAUAUUUAUUGGAUUUAUGCAAUUAAUGCUAAUAGCUUCUCAGCAAUAAAGGAUGAAUAAAUACAUAUUACUCAAUCAAUCAACCCACAAAU
rnacentral:misc_RNA from 1 species